GCCGGUGUGGCUCAGUGGAUAGAGCGUCAGCCUACAGACUGAAGGGUCCCGGGUUCGAUUCCAGCCAAGGGCA
rfam:Myotis brandtii contig278555, whole genome shotgun sequence.